rnacentral:tRNA from 1 species
GGAGAGGUCGCAUAGUGGCCUAGUGCGCCUGCUUGGAGAGCAGGUAUCCCCGCAAGGGGAUCGAGGGUUCGAAUCCCUCCCUCUCCGCCA